rnacentral:rRNA from 1 species
CCUACGGGUGGCUGCAGUCGAGAAUCAUGCACAAUGGGGGAAACCCUGAUGGAGCGACGCCGCGUGGGGGAAUGAAGGUCUCCGGAUUGUAAACCCCUGUCAUGUGGGAGCAAAUUAAGAAGAUAGAACAGCAAGAGGAAGAGACGGCUAACGCUGUGCCAGCAGCUGCGGUAAGACAGAGGGCUUAAGCGUUGUUCGGAAUAACUGGGGGUAAAGCGUGCGGAGGCUGGUUUGGAAGUCGUGUGUGAAAGGCGCGGGCUCAACCCGCGGACGGCACUUGAUACUGUGAGCCUAGAGUAAUGGAGGGGUAGCCGGAAUUCUCGGUGUAGCGGUGAAAUGCGUAGAUAUCGAGAGGAACACCGGUGGCGAAGGCAGGUUCCUGGACAUUAACUGACGCUGAGGCACGAAAGCCUGGGUAGCGAACAGGAUUAGAUACCCGAGUAGUC